GACGAACGCUGGCGGCGUGCUUAACACAUGCAAGUCGAACGGAAAGGCCCUGCUUUUGUGGGGUGCUCGAGUGGCGAACGGGUGAGUAACACGUGAGUAACCUGCCCUUGACUUUGGGAUAACUUCAGGAAACUGGGGCUAAUACCGGAUAGGAGCUCCUGCUGCAUGGUGGGGGUUGGAAAGUUUCGGCGGUUGGGGAUGGACUCGCGGCUUAUCAGCUUGUUGGUGGGGUAGUGGCUUACCAAGGCUUUGACGGGUAGCCGGCCUGAGAGGGUGACCGACCACAUUGGGACUGAGAUACGGCCCAGACUCCUACGGGAGGCAGCAGUGGGGAAUAUUGCACAAUGGGCGGAAGCCUGAUGCAGCAACGCCGCGUGCGGGAUGACGGCCUUCGGGUUGUAAACCGCUUUCGCCUGUGACGAAGCGUGAGUGACGGUAAUGGGGAAAGAAGCACCGGCUAACUACGU
rnacentral:rRNA from 1 species